CCUACGGGAGGCAGCAGUGGGGAAUAUUGGACAAUGGGCGAAAGCCUGAUCCAGCAAUACCGCGUGUGUGAAGAAGGCCCGAGGGUUGUAAAGCACUUUCAAUUGGGAGGAAAAAGCAUGGGUUAAUACCUCAUGCCUUGACAUUACCUUUAGAAGAAGCACCGGCUAACUCCGUGCCAGCAGCCGCGGU
rnacentral:rRNA from 1 species